rnacentral:rRNA from 1 species
UACGGGGGAGGCAAGCGUUAUCCGGAAUUAUUGGGCGUAAAGCGUCCGCAGGUGGUCAGCCAAGUCUGCUGUCAAAGCAUGGAGCUUAACUCCAUACCGGCGGUGGAAACUGGCAGACUAGAGAGCAGUAGGGGUAGCAGGAAUUCCCAGUGUAGCGGUGAAAUGCGUAGAGAUUGGGAAGAACAUCGGUGGCGAAAGCGUGCUACUGGGCUGUAUCUGACACUCAGGGACGAAAGCUAGGGGAGCGAAAGGG